rnacentral:rRNA from 1 species
GAUCACAUUAUGUGACAUAUCAUUCAAGUUUCUGACCUAUCAGCUUUAGACGGUAGGGUAUUGGCCUACCGUGGCUAUGACGGGUAACGGGGAAUUAGGGUUCGAUUCCGGAGAGGGAGCCUGAGAAACGGCUACCACAUCUAAGGAAGGCAGCAGGCGCGCAAAUUACCCAAUCCUAAUACAGGGAGGUAGUGACAAGAAAUAACAAUACAGAACCUUACGGUUUUGUAAUUGGAAUGAGUUAAGUAUAAACCCCUUAACAAGUAUCAAUUGGAGGGCAAGUCUGGUGCCAGCAGCCGCGGUAAUUCCAGCUCCAAUAGCGUAUAUUAAAGUUGUUGCAGUUAAAAAGCUCGUAGUUAAUCUUCUGUUAAUUUUUAUAUAUAAUAUUUCGAUAUUUAUAUAAUAUUAACAUAAUUCAUAUUACUUUUUAGUAUAUGAAACUUUACUUUGAGAAAAUUAGAGUGCUUAAAGCAGGCUAUUGCCUUGAAUACUCCAGCAUGGAAUAAUAUUAAGGAUUUUUAUUCUUCUUAUUGGUUCUAGAAUAAAAAUGAUGAUUAAUAGGAACAGUUGGGGGCAUUUGUAUUUAACAGUCAGAGGUGAAAUUCUUAGAUUUGUUAAAGACAAACUACUGCGAAAGCAUUUGCCAAGGAUGUUUUCAUUAAUCAAGAACGAAAGUUAGGGGAUCGAAGACGAUCAGAUACCGUCGUAGUCUUAACCAU